ensembl:lncRNA
ACCUUCUCUGUACGACCUGCUGCUUUAAAGCACCAGCUCUCCUAGCAAUGACCUGCCUCUGGCAUGCUCAGCCUGCAGGGAAAAGUUAUUCCUCUGUGUCUGCAGGCUUUGCUCGCAUUCCCAGGUGCAAGAGUCAGUCUAGAGCUCAGCCCAGCUUUACCAACAACAGAAAUCCAGUUGAUGCCAGCUGUGUUUUUCUCUCUUCUGAAACACCGUACUGCUGCAAGAAGCAAUGUUGCAAAUGCUUCUUUAUUGCACAAAAGCUAGGAAAUAGCUUUUUUUCUAGAGAUUUCCACACGAGACAUACUUUUCAAGGAGGCACCAGGCAAGUGGAGACAACGGAAAGCACUGGCAAGUCAAAGCUUGGUUAAAAGCUUUCAUGUGAGACCUAAUGGCAUCUUUUCCCAUGCAGGUCAGCUACGGUGACGAUAAACCAUGUCCAAAAGCUUCACUGCAUGAGAACGCCACAUGCAAAAGAUUAGAAGCUGCAGAGAUAUAAAUUCAUCUCAGCCCAGAAAUCCUUCCCUGUGUGUAUUGCCUGGAGUUCCGAGACUGCAGAGCCAGAAUCAUUCUCCUCCUCUGGGUGCAGUCUAGGAGAUGGACACCUCCAACCACGCACACUUCCACAGCUCUUCCUUUCUCAUCAAGUCAGGCCUUGACACAGGAGAUGUUUUUGUCCCCUCUUUUUCCUGAGGUUACCCCCCGCUGCCUCUGUUGCCGUGUUUUACUUGACCACUAACAAAAAAGUAGUUCUAAAUAAUUCAGCCUGGGAUUCUUCACGUAGUAAUCUAACGCGAGGAGCUGGGGCUUUCCAGAAGAACAACCGUUUUGCUAAGGAAACACGCCAUUUGGGAUGGGGACUCUACACAGCUCCUAAGCAGAAGGUGGUGGGGCUCUCACGUCACUCUGCUCCCAGGCAGGGUCUCCAACACAGUUACCUUGAUUUGCAUUUCUCUUUUGCCUACUUGCAAGCACACCCCUUCAGGGCACUUCUCAUCCCAGCUCUCAGUCCUUGUAAGAAAGGCUGUGGCAAAUCCACCUGCAGAAAACACUGUCAUUCCCUUUAGAAACAAAGAAACCACUCUGCCCUUGCUCCUGAGCCUGGUCCCUGCCUCCACCUGCAGGGCUUGGCUAUCCUGGCUCUGUUCGUGGGCCACUAAAUGAAAUGCCAGACAACAGAGACAAAAAGAGGCAGAGGACUGGCACUAAUACUUCUCCGUUGGCGGGAAUCUCAACAGAAAGUGUUGUGCUAAAGGUGUGAGGUUCAGGGAACACCCCUAUCAAGGCAAAAGACGUAGUAUGGAAGGCUU